UNGGUUUUAGUUGCUAGAUUGUGUGCUUA
rnacentral:piRNA from 1 species